CGCGUAUGCAACCUACCUUCAUCUGGGGGAUAGCCCGGAGAAAUCCGGAUUAAUACCGCAUAAAAUCACAGGAUGGCAUUAUCCAAUGAUCAAACAUUUAUGGGAUGGAGAUGGGCAUGCGUGUCAUUAGCUAGUUGGCGGGGUAACGGCCCACCAAGGCGACGAUGACUAGGGGAUCUGAGAGGAUGGCCCCCCACACUGGUACUGAGACACGGACCAGACUCCUACGGGAGGCAGCAGUAAGGAAUAUUGGUCAAUGGAGGCAACUCUGAACCAGCCAUGCCGCGUGCAGGAAGACUGCCCUAUGGGUUGUAAACUGCUUUUAUUCGGGAAUAAACCUUAUUACGUGUAAUAAGCUGAAUGUACCGAAGGAAUAAGGAUCGGCUAACUCCGUGCCAGCAGCCGCGGUAAUACGGAGGAUCCAAGCGUUAUCCGGAUUUAUUGGGUUUAAAGGGUGCGUAGGCGGCCUGUUAAGUCAGGGGUGAAAGACGGUAGCUCAACUAUCGCAGUGCCCUUGAUACUGAUGGGCUUGAAUGGACUAGAGGUAGGCGGAAUGAGACAAGUAGCGGUGAAAUGCAUAGAUAUGUCUCAGAACACCGAUUGCGAAGGCAGCUUACUAUGGUCUUAUUGACGCUGAGGCACGAAAGCGUGGGGAUCAAACAGGAUUAGAUACCCUGGUAGUCCACGCCCUAAACGAUGAACACUCGCUGUUGGCGAUACACAGUCAGCGGCUAAGCGAAAGCGUUAAGUGUUCCACCUGGGGAGUACGCUCGCAAGAGUGAAACUCAAAGGAAUUGACG
rnacentral:rRNA from 1 species